rnacentral:lncRNA from 1 species
AUUUUACCUAGGGAAACAUUUGGGGUGCCUAAAGCCUUUUAGAAAAAGGCUUGAGAUGGAGAAUUUGAAACGGAAAGCUGGUGAACCUUUGGAAUGACAUAUGGAUUCCAAAACCUAGAAACAACAUAAUAGAAAAUUAGAACAUUGAUAUAAUAUUUACUAUAGUAGCAAAUUUGAUAAAUAAUGAAAUAUUUUUAAUGGAAAGAGGAUGUGAUCAGAGAUUUACUCCAAGAACAUCAAGUUGAAAGUGUUCUAGGCAUCAACUGGUAAAUCCUAUGCAAAAGGAUGAAGUAGUGUGGAGAUGAGACAAUUUCGGAGUGUACACAGUGAAAGGGGGUACAAAUGGCUCGUUACAAAGGGGCAAAGCUCUCAAAGACACAACAAUACAACUCAAACAAAUGAUAGAAGCCAUUAUUUUACAAAGAUAUGGCAACUCAAAAUACCCAGCAAAAUUAAGAUUAACCUAUGAAGAAUUACAAACAACUAUCUACCACUAUUAGUAAAUCUAGUGCGUAGAAGAUUAAAGUUGAAGCACUCUAUCCAGUUUGUAAUGAGGUUGACGAAACGGUUGCACAUCUUUUCCGGGACUGUAAAUUCACAAGGUAGGUACUUGACGAAAUUGGUUUAACACCCUCUAGUAACGACAUGUAACAAGAUUGGAAAGAAUAGUUAGUGUAAGUUUUCAAUAAUAAUAGUUCAGAAUAGUGCACGAAGUUGGCUAUUACCCUCUGGGCUAUAUGGUACAACCAGAAUAGAGUUUACCAUGAAGGCAUCAGGGAAAUAAUACAAGAUGUGGUGGGUUUCAUUAUAGCAUAUAGAACAGAAAGCAAUCAACUGGAAACAUUUUUAGAAAUUAAUACCAUUACAGAAAGGAAGCACUGGGUGCCCUCAGAAGAAGGUUAGGUUAAAGUAAACUUUGACGCUUCCUAUUUAAAUCAAUUGAAAAAAGUAGUAGCAGGCAUUAUUAUUAGAAAUGAAGCAGGUGUGGCCAUGGGCUCAUGCAUUUACCCGUGGGAUAAUGUGAGCAACCCGGCCACUGCUGAAACCAUCGCUUGUUUGCGGGCAGUAAACUUUGCAGAAGACUUGGGAUCUAGAGAAGUCGGUAUCGAAGGAGACGCCUUAACAGUGAUUAAAAAAUCAAAUUAGAGGAAAAAUGAUAGAUUGAUUAUUGGCAGUAUCGGAAAUGAAAUAAAACGCAAAACUCCAAGGUUUAAUCACUUAUCUUUUAGGCAUAUCUCCCGAGAAGCAAAUGCUGUGGCGCACGAACUAGCAGUUUGGGGGCGACACUUUGACUCACCAUGAUACUGGGUGGAGGAAAUCCCCCUGAUUUAGAUUACCUCCUAAAUUUUGACAGAUGAGGUGGGUAUGGUUCUUGGGUAGAAAGAUUUUGUGAACUAAGAUCGGAAGAAAGGAAGGAAGCAAAGACUCUGACAACACUCAGUGUGUGUGGGACUGGUGGUUUCUGUGGAAGAUAAAACAGAUCGAUGGGAAGGUGACCAGACUCUCACAUGUUCAUCAUCUGAUGCAUUAAGAAAUGGAUUUUUAGGAAGG